GACGAACGCUGGCGGCGUGCCUAAUACAUGCAAGUUGAGCGAUGAAGCUUGGUGCUUGCCCCAAUUUGAAGAGCAGCGAACGGGUGAGUAACGCGUGGGGAAUCUGCCUUUGAGCGGGGGACAACAUUUGGAAACGAAUGCUAAUACCGCAUAACAACUUUAAACAUAAGUUUUAAGUUUGAAAGAUGCAAUUGCAUCACUCAAAGAUGAUCCCGCGUUGUAUUAGCUAGUUGGUGAGGUAAAGGCUCACCAAGGCGAGGAUACAUAGCCGACCUGAGAGGGUGAUCGGCCACAUUGGGACUGAGACACGGCCCAAACUCCUACGGGAGGCAGCAGUAGGGAAUCGUCGGCAAUGGACGAAAGUCUGACCGAGCAACGCCGCGUGAGUGAAGAAGGUUGUCGGAUCGUAAAACUCUGUUGGUAGAGAAGAACGUUGGUGAGAGUGGAAAGCUCAUCAAGUGACGGUAACUACCCAGAAAGGGACGGCUAACUACGUG
rnacentral:rRNA from 1 species